AUGAGGUUGGUGUAAAUGGUAGCACUGCGGUCUCCAAAACCGUAAAUAAGGGUUCGACUCCUUUACCUCAUG
rnacentral:tRNA from 2 species